rnacentral:pre_miRNA from 1 species
UCAGAGAUGUAGUGUCUUGAUGUUCGAAGUUCCUAACAUCAAGUGGUACAUCACUGAGC